UAGCGGAGGGGCCACACCCGUUCCCAUCUCGAACACGGCAGUUAAGCCCUCCAGCGCCGAUGGUACUUGGACCGCAGGGUCCUGGGAGAGUAGGUCGUCGCCGGAA
rnacentral:rRNA from 1 species